AGGAAAGAGUAGACUAGAAUAGACUGUGGCAGUUGGAAGGGACCUACAAUGAUCAUCUCAUCCAACUGCCUGAGAAAUCUAGGGCUACCAAAAGUUAGAGCAUGUUAGUAAGGGCACUGUGCAAAUGCCUCUUAAACACUGACAGGCUUGGAGCAUUGCCCACCUUUCUAGAAAACUGUUCUGGUGUUUGACCACACUCAUGGAAGCUGCUCCUCACAGGACAUGCCUUCCAGCCCCCUCACCAGCUUUGUUGUGUCCCUUGGAGGCACUUGAGUACCUUAACAGCCUUACAUCGUGGGACCCAGAACUGCACACAGCACUCCAGGAUGUGGUUUGCUCUCUUGGCUGCCAGGACACACUGCUGCCUCAUACUGAGUCUGCCACUGCCCAGCAUCCCCAGACCAUUUUCUGCAGGAAAGGAAGAAACCACUCAUAAGAUACCAGAUGGAUUAUCCUUGUAGUCAACUGAGGAGCAAGUGAGACAGAACAUUCUGCACACAACAGAAGCCCUCUCUGAUUACGUAAAGAGUUUGUUUAGAAAUGAAGAUGGCUAAGAAGAAGCACAGCUGCCACAUUAUUCUCAGAUUACCUGCACCUUUCCAUGUGGUAAUGACAAAUUAAAUUGAUAUUAAUUAA